GUCUGUAUCACUGCGCCACGGCACGAAAAGCCCUUCAGCUGUUAAUGGAUUAAUCUGUGAUCGCACGGAGCACCGAGUGAACUGAUGAGAGGUCACUGCAAUCCUGAGGACUUUGCCGCUAGAGAGGAAGGAUGUGCUCAGUACAAAAGCAACUGUCACCUUCACUUCCACUCUACUGGACGAUUUUCUGGAUCAGAUAAACUCCUCUUAUUGAGGUCUUUAGCUGUGCAAACUCUCCACAUGGCUCUCCUCUGACUGCAAGUACCAGUACAGAAACUGCAGAAAACCUUGUCCUGUCUACUGCAGCCAAGGUGCAGGAGUUCUGGCGCCUGUGCUUAGUGUCUGACUGGUUAAGUGCCUCCCAAGACUCAGAUGUCAACAUCCAUGAGGUUCUAGAAGACAUACUCUCUCAUAUUACAGCUGAGACUGUGAGAGCUGUGAUUGACUGUUUGCUGAGCAUCUGCAGCUAGGAAACAACAGAGGAUCUCCAGGAGUUCAGUUCAGGUGCACCUCUGUGUAACUUCCUCAAAGCUGUAGCUGACAGCAUGAAGGCAGAGAGUCCCCCCAAAGCAGCCACACAAAGGGAGUCUACUAGAGUAGCUGGAUCCAACAUGGUUGAAGAACUUCCUUCUGCUGUACCUCCACAGUCCGAUGUGGCCGACAGAGAGGACGACUUAACUAGUGUCCCUUGUGAUAACAGUAAUCUUUAAUUUUCUAGUUCCCUUCACAUCAUGUUUUUGUCUUGGCACAGUCUGGCUUCAGACUUUGAUGGAUAUUGUCUGCAAAGUAAGAGAGUCCCACAUGUCUGUGUACUUAACCAAUGAAUUCAUUGUUUUCAGUCUUUUCAAUUCUGUUUCAAUGCUUUCAA